AAUUGUUUUAAAAAAACAACCCCUUCUUCAAUAUGGUCGUUCAUUUUGAAUUCAUUUCAACCAACCAAAUAAUCUCAGAUCUGAAAAUGAAAACCUCACAGCCCGACAACCACCGUCAACCGCGACACAGCCACCGCUAACAAACCACGACAACGACCAGCCCACCAAACCACCGUCAACCGCGACGCAGCCACCGAACGCCAACCGCUGCCACCAACCCACCAACCCACCAACCCACCAACCGGUCACGCUGAGUCAGUCCGGAUCGGUGAUAGACUCAGCAAGAUGAUUCAUUUGCACUCAGUAAUUUGACUCAGCUGCUCUCGCUGGUUCAUCCUUUGCUAAACCCACACCCUCACUCUUCAGGAAUAAUUUUGAGUCAACAACGAAGCUAAACACUAUUUUUCUAAGCAUCAAAACGGACAAGCGUUCACUCUUUUGAUGAUAUCUCAAUUUCUACAUGUCGGAAUGCGACAAUUUUGAUUUGGCUAGAAAGUAGGCUUCAAGAGCUUUCCAACGACAGGUCACACGUCCCUAUAGGCAUUGUAGAACAAGAGUUAUGAUAUAAACAAGGUGGCUCGACUAUCCGAUUCGCCCACGGCGCACAACGCUGGCCCGACAUACUCUUCCCCUUGGGCGCGAAAAUCAGCGACCCACCAGCGGGCCCGCUGGUUUCUGCGCCUAUCUGAUUUCCGGGUGGAUUCGUUGCAUUCGUUCUCGUGAUCGUUCAAUUAAAUGAUAAUUUAUGUAAUUAUUAUUAUUUCCUAUUUUGUUUAGAAUUUAGGAAGCAUAUAAAUACUUCAAGGGAAUUAAUUUAUUUCCCUUAUGCUUUAUUUCCUUUAUGUUUUAAUUCCCUUAGAGUUCUAUUUCAUGUUCUUUUUCUUUCUUCUCCUUUCAUGAACCCUAGUUUUUCUGCAUACUCCAUUAAUGUAACUCUUUGAGUUAUUAUUGA